GUUCUAGAACAUUUUUGCUAUUCUUGUUGGGGUAGAUGCCGCCUGUAAAACAUCUUAUACAAAUUCUCUUUAUAGGCAGUUGACAUUGUUAAUUUG